AGUGAACGCUGGCGGUAGGCCUAACACAUGCAAGUCGAACGGCAGCACAGUAAGAGCUUGCUCUUACGGGUGGCGAGUGGCGGACGGGUGAGGAAUACAUCGGAAUCUACUUUUUCGUGGGGGAUAACGUAGGGAAACUUACGCUAAUACCGCAUACGACCUACGGGUGAAAGCAGGGGAUCUUCGGACCUUGCGCGAUUGAAUGAGCCGAUGUCGGAUUAGCUAGUUGGUGGGGUACAGGCCCACCAAGGCGACGAUCCGUAGCUGGUCUGAGAGGAUGAUCAGCCACACUGGAACUGAGACACGGUCCAGACUCCUACGGGAGGCAGCAGUGGGGAAUAUUGGACAAUGGGCGCAAGCCUGAUCCAGCCAUACCGCGUGUGUGAAGAAGGCCUUCGGGUUGUAAAGCCCUUUUGUUGGGAAAGAAAAGCAGCAGGUUAAUACCCCGCUGUUCUGACGGUACCCAAAGAAUAAGCACCGGCUAACUUCGUG
rnacentral:rRNA from 1 species